UACGAUGGAGGGCAAGCGUUACUCGGAAUUACUGGGCGUAAAGCGUGCGUAGGUGGUUCGUUAAGUCUGAUGUGAAAGCCCUGGGCUCAACCUGGGAAUGGCAUUGGAAACUGGCGACCUAGAGUGCGGUAGAGGGUAGUGGAAUUCCCGGUGUAGCAGUGAAAUGCGUAGAUAUCGAGAGGAACACCUGCGGCGAAGGCGGGUAGCUGGGCCGACACUGACGCUGAGGCGCGAAAGCCAGGGGAGCGAACAGG
rnacentral:rRNA from 1 species